AUUGAACGCUGGCGGCAUGCCUUACACAUGCAAGUCGAACGGUAACGCGCCUUCGGGUGCCGACGAGUGGCGAACGGGUGAGUAAUACAUCGGAACGUGCCCGAUCGUGGGGGAUAACGAGGCGAAAGCUUUGCUAAUACCGCAUACGAUCUACGGAUGAAAGCAGGGGACCGCAAGGCCUUGCGCGGACGGAGCGGCCGAUGGCAGAUUGGGUAGUUGGUGGGAUAAAAGCUUACCAAGCCGACGAUCUGUAGCUGGUCUGAGAGGAUGAUCAGCCACACUGGGACUGAGACACGGCCCAGACUCCUACGGGAGGCAGCAGUGGGGAAUUUUGGACAAUGGGCGCAAGCCUGAUCCAGCCAUGCCGCGUGCAGGAUGAAGGCCUUCGGGUUGUAAACUGCUUUUGUACGGAACGAAAAGCCUUCUUUUAAUACAGGAGGGUCAUGACGGUACCGUAAGAAUAAGCACCGGCUAACUACGUG
rnacentral:rRNA from 1 species